CCCUACCAUAGAAGGUAAUAGUCCUGUAGAUGAAAAGAGAAAACUUCGAGAUCUAAUCCAGAGUACCACGAGACACGUGAAACCUUGUGGGAAGCAGGGAGGACCACCUCCCAAGGCUAAAUACUACCUAGUGACCGAUAGUGAAGCAGUACCGUGAGGGAAAGGUGAAAAGAACCCCGGGAGGGGAGUGAAAUAGAACCUGAAACCGUGUGCCUACAACCGAUCGGAGCACGUUAAAGUGUGACGAUGUGCUGUUUGUAGAACGAGCCAGCGAGUUACGCUAUGUAGCAAGGUUAAGUACUUAAGGUAUGGAGCCGAAGGGAAACCGAGUCUGAAAAGGGCGAAAAGUUGCAUGGUGUAGACCCGAAACCGGGUGACCUAUCCAUGGACAGGUUGAAGCGAGAGUAAAAUCUCGUGGAGGACCGAACCACGUUGGUGUUGAAAAACCAUGGGAUGAGCUGUGGAUAGCGGAGAAAUUCCAAUCGAACUCGGAGAUAGCUGGUUCUCCCCGAAAUAGCUUUAGGGCUAGCGUCGUGUAAUUGAGUAAUGGAGGUAGAGCACUGAAUGGGCUAGGGGCUAUAGUAGUUACCGAACCCUAUCAAACUCCGAAUGCCAUAUACUUGUAUCACGGCAGUCAGACUGC
rnacentral:ncRNA from 1 species